GGGCGGUGCCGCACCGCCGCCAGGUUUCCAUUGGACAGGGCAGCGGGGGGCGGUUCCCACAGACAGGCGCUCUCAGGGCAGUCUCCUGCCGCGUCUCCUCCCUUGCAGGGCUCUGGCGGACAGCUUGCCAGCGUUGUCUUCAUGUCUCUCUGUCCAUCCUCCGCCCAGUCGAGGUGCUCCCAAGUAAUUCUGCCGGACGAAAGGAAGGCCUCUCUCUCCUUGAAAGCGCCAUGACAGUCAUAAUCCUCCGAAAAGACAAAAGGAACGGAAGACGCAGCCUCAAUCCGAGGGAUGAACCCACCCACAUUCCCCAUUUGGGAAAGAGACAGUUCAUGGGUCAUCAAAUUUUCAGAAAGCUUUUCUUUUUUUAAUCGCUUAACAUGAAACCUAAUAGUUGCUGAUUUGCAUAACAUUAUUUACCUAAACAUAUAACCAGAUUCGACCCUCAUAAGGGAGAACUCAUUGAAAUUAAUCAAUGAUAGUUGUCAAAUGCGAAAAUGAAACAAAAAAAAGUUACUCAAAUUUAAAUUGGCAUGAGCCCAAAAUAGAAUCCGAAGUAAGAAGAUCCAUCAAAACUGUCCUUGUGGGGCUGGGGAUUUAGCUCAGUGGUAGAGCGCUUACCUAGGAAGCGCAAGGCCCUGGGUUCGGUCCCCAGUUCCGAAAAAAAGAACCAAAAAAAAAAAAAAAAACUGUCCUUGAAAAAGUAUUUGGAAAGAAUUUACAUUGGUUGUGAGUUAUAAUUACAAUAGAUUUUGGGUUAAGCCAUUGAUCUUGGAAAGUUAAAGGCAAAAUCUAAGGGAUGAAAAUUCAUGCUGCCAUUAUCUAUGUAUUAUCAAGGAAGAAGGAUGAAUCAUCUGAAUCUGAGUGCCACAAUCAACAACGUUACUGUCCUGAAAGGGGACUAAUUAGUCCUAGUUCACCGGUUCAGAUGGAAAUCCUGUAGAGACUCAUUUUUUUCUAUCUUCACUUUUAAAAUGCUUGCUUUAAAAAACAAAAUUUCAACAAGCAUGCCAGACAGAUCUCUGUGAAUUCGAGGCCAACCAGGGAGGGCUACAUAGUGGAACCCUGUCUCAAAAACAAAAGCCAACCUUUUUUGUUCACCCAGCAUAGUGUCGAAUACGGUAAUCCUAUCACUCCGAAGGCUAAUGCCAUGAGUUCAUGAUCAGCACAAGCAAUAGCGCAACUGUACAAAGACAAAAUAGAAUUCUGCUGUUGGAUUAAGAGAUGCACUUACCUAUAAUGUAUAGCACGACAUUUCAAAGUUUGUUCUAGUCUUAAAUGAUGCUCUUCCUCUCCAGAUUAAUCUUUCGGCCUCCUGGGCACCAAAGCAAUAAAAACUCUUGAACCAC
rnacentral:lncRNA from 1 species